rnacentral:lncRNA from 10 species
AUGUUAAUUGACCUGCCCAAUAUUACUCAUGCACCUGAACUGAAGUUGUAAUUCUUGGAGAGUUUCAGAAUGGGAAUGCAGACCUGGGUGCUAGCUACUCUCUGCAUGUUAAAAGGAAUCCUACUGCCAUUUGUUUUCCUAUUAAAUGACAUUUCAAAUACUUUAUUAUAAACAUAAAUCACAUCUUUCAAGAAGGUAAAUGACAAACCAAAUUUGAGAUCUGGCUUGCAUUUCUACACCCUACCCAAGACUAAAUAGAUGAACAGUUGCUUUAUAGAUUGUAACUGAAAGAUAAACAAAGAGAGACAGUAUAUUAUAGAAAACACAUCACUUGAAACUGACAUCUGCCCUUUAAUUCACGAACAUCAUCCAAAACCCUGUCACUUCACUUGACAUCUGUUACAUACCCUGAUGCAUGAAGUUGUGGAAAAGAGCAAUCUUAUUUGCAGUUGGUGAGAAAAAAAAUUAUAUAUACAUAUAUAUGUGUGUGUGUGUGUGUGUGUGUGUAAACUUUUUAAACUGCUUUACCUAUAGAUAUGAGUUCAUCUUCAUCAGUGUUUUAAAAAGACAAUGCUGUUGUUCACACACUAGUCCACCUACAUCUAGUAAUGGAUGCUGAGAUGCUAAAAGUCCUCUGUGCCCAAAUAAACAUCCUCUGUGAUAUAGAAAACUUCCACUAUUAAUUUUAUUUCUUUGAAUUAAAGCAUCUCAAGAAGAUUCUCAUGAGAUGUCCACAUAGAACCUGGGAUGAGUCACUCAUGAAUACAUUUGUACUAAUUAUCAUCAGUUAUUACAUUAAUGGAGAAAGGUUCCUUUGAAGCAGAAAAAGGAAGAACUGCAAUAGAAUGAGACAAUGAGUGAGAGACAUCUGGAGUCUAUACGUAGACCUUUGCUACCUGCAGUGCAACCGUUUCAGCCUCACCUGGGAAAUUGUUAGAAAUGCAAAUUCUCAGGUUCCACCCAGUCCCUACUAAAGUGGCAUGCUUGGGAGUGAAGCCCAGGAAUCUGCAUUUUAACAAGCUCUUGAGAUGCUUCUGAUGCUUGCUAACAUUUGUCAAGCACUGGUCUAAACUUGAGAAUAGUGGGAUCCACUGGCAGAUUAAGAGUGGAUAAGUAGACCUGGAAGAAGUAUCUCACACACCACUUAUGUUUAUUUUACACAUUUAUUUACAUUUGCCAUGAUUUCAGUUAUGUUUAACCUCAAACAUAAUACAAAAUUAAAUUGCCAGUAUAAAUUUAUACCCCAAAACUCCUACGAUAUUUGCAUAUGUCAUAAUGACAUCACUGGUUAAAAAUGCUUACAUUUAACAAGUAUAUAAUUUCAGAAGUUUUGGGAGUGUUCCCGACGGCAAUUAAAAUUUUAAAGAAUCAUUAUCUAUGCAAGCGUUGUUAUAUCUGAAGCCACUGCUAAGUCUUUGAGCAUUAAUGGUACAAAAACAAAAUGAUAAUAAACCACCAAAAAAUACUACCUGGAAUCAAAGGGUUUAAAGAGACUUGUGAAGUCAUCCAUAAUCUCUCAGCUUGUAGAUUCUAAUUGUGCUCACUAAGGGUGAGUCCUUCUACACAGGAGAUUUGGCUCUGAAGAAGAUGAAGCUGGUGACUCAGCAAGAAGAGGGUGGACUGGGCUGGAGAUGGGCUGCCUUGGCCUCAGGACACAGGAGCUGAACUGAGGCCCCCUGACUAGGAAGCACCUUUCUUCCCUAAAUCUGCCAUGGACUUUGAUUAGGAGGGUUCUUACCGGCUUCCUGUGGGGACAAACUAUUGGCUCUGUGGCAACUUGGAAAUCACUUCUGCUCCUUAAAAAAAUCUAAGAUUUUGUCCAGGCAUGGUGGCUCACACCUGUAAUUCCAACAUUUUGGGAGGCCAAGACGGGAGGAUCAUGAGGUCAGGAGUUGGAGACCAGCCUGACCAACAUGGUCAAACCCCGUCUCUACUAAAAAUACAAAAAUUAGCUGGGCAUGGUGGUGUGCUCCUGUAAUCCCAGCUACUCAGGGGGCUAAGGCAGGAGAAUCACUUGAACCCGGGAGGUGGAGGUUGCAGUGAGCUGAGAUCACAUCACUGCACUCCAACCUGGGUGAAAGCAUGAGACUCCGUCUCAAAAUAUAUAUAUAAGAUUUUAAAAAAUGGAUUUGUUUUCCUCAAAAUGAAGGAUUGUAGUAGAUCAAUGUUUUCUUAUUACAGAAACAAAUUAUGUAAUUUAUAGAAAAAGUGGGAAAUCCAGGUAAACAAAGUACAAAAUAAACACUGACAUACUUCCUUCCCAGGGAUGAGCAGUUACUUUAGCAUAUAUCUCUGCAGAUCUUUUUGUUGUUGUUUUACAAAAAUAAAGUCAAUACUGUAUGUUAUCAUCUACGUUGUUCACCUAUCAAUAUGUCCUAACACGUUUUCAUGUCAAUAAUUGCUCUUCUGUAACACCUUUAAUGGCUACUGAGCGUUCCAUUUUAUGGUUGUAUCAUAAUUUAUUUACCAAAUUCCCAAUUGUUUCCUAUACGCAAUUUCUAAUUUGUCACUAUUAUAAAGUGUGUUCUGGUGAUUCAUCCUGAUAGUUAUGUUUUUAUGCCUGUCCUUAAAAAUUCCCAACAAUAAAUUUGUAAAAUAUUUA